UACGAAGGGGGCUAGCGUUGCUCGGAAUUACUGGGCGUAAAGGGUGCGUAGGUGGUUUGUUAAGUCUGCUGUGAAAUCCCCGGGCUCAACCUGGGAAUGGCAGUGGAUACUGGCAAGCUAGAGUGCGGUAGAGGGUAGUGGAAUUCCCGGUGUAGCAGUGAAAUGCGUAGAGAUCGGGAGGAACACCAGUGGCGAAGGCGGCUACCUGGACCAGCACUGACACUGAAGCACGAAAGCGUGGGGAGCAAACAGG
rnacentral:rRNA from 1 species